rnacentral:lncRNA from 1 species
GGCUACUUAGACGGAAGCUCGGUUGGGGUUUCUGCAGAAGUUUCCCCCUUGGGCGGUGGCGGAGCUGAUAAGCGCGCUAGUAGCAGCUCUGGCAGAAGCAACGGUGACUUCGAGGGAUGGCGGCGGCUGCAACAGGACCUGCAGCAUCCCAGAGGAACUGACUAAGGCUUUGGAACAGAAACCAGAUGAUGCACAAUAUUAUCGUCAAAGAGCUUAUUGUCACAUUCUUCUUGGGAAUUACUGUGGUGCAGAUGCUAAUUUCAGUGACUGGAUUAAAAGGUGUCGAAGCUCAGAAUGUUUGUGGGGAAGUAUGAGACCCUCGUGUUUUACCGGCCCUCGCUGCUGUGCCUUGCCUUCCUGCUGGGCCGCUUCCUGCAUAUGUUUGUCAAGGCUCUGAGGGUGCACCUCGGCUGGGAGCUCCAGGUGGAAGAAAAAUCUGUCCCGGAAGCGCACCAGGGAGAGCACGUCAAGCAGCUCCUGAGGAUACCCCGCCCUCAAGAGAGAAAAAAGUCUUGGUUCCAAACCAGGAUAUAUGAGUGGGAUCCCUGCUUUCAAUUUCCAGGCAGAAUGAUUGGAACCAUUGUGUUGGCAUUCAUCUGCCUGUAUCUUGAGUCUGGGUGGCGACCAUUUUGCCCGCCUCUCUCACGUGUGUGAGCUAUCUGUUCCACAUUUUGGUCUGUUACAGAAAGCACAUGAAGAGGCUAUGGGCAGGAGAUAAACAUUUUCUUCCUUUGAAGUUCCAUAACCCGGCCUCGUCGGAGAGCAUGGU